ACGAACUGCAGAACCUCGUGAAUCAUCAAAAUUUUGAACGCACAUUGCGCUACUGAGUAAUCUCAGUAGCAUGCUUAUCUGAGUGUCUCUAAA
rnacentral:rRNA from 1 species